CUGCUGCCUCCCGUAGGAGUCUGGUCCGUGUCUCAGUACCAGUGUGGGGGGCCUUCCUCUCAGAACCCCUACGCAUCGUCGCCUCGGUGGGCCGUUACCCCGCCGACUAGCUAAUGCGCCGCAUGGCCAUCCGCAGCCGAUAAAUCUUUAAACAUCGGGAGAUGCCUCCCAACGUUGUUACGCGGUAUUAGACGGAAUUUCUUCCGCUUAUCCCCCUGCUGCGGGCAGGUUCCAUACGUGUUACUCACCCGUGCGCCGGUCGCCGG
rnacentral:rRNA from 1 species